UACGGGGGGAGCAAGCGUUGUUCGGAUUUACUGGGCGUAAAGGGCGCGUAGGCGGUAGCACAAGUCAGUUGUGAAAUCUCCGGGCUUAACUCGGAAAGGUCAGCCGAUACUGCGGGGCUAGAGUGCAGAAGGGGCAACUGGAAUUCUCGGUGUAGCGGUGAAAUGCGUAGAUAUCGAGAGGAACACCUGCGGCGAAGGCGGGUUGCUGGGCUGACACUGACGCUGAUUGUGCGAAAGCUAGGGGAGCGAACGGG
rnacentral:rRNA from 1 species